rnacentral:tRNA from 1 species
GGGGCCAUCCCCCUGGAGGGGGGGCGGGCCUUAGAAACUCGCUGGGUGGGUUCGACUCCCACUGGCUCCG